rnacentral:rRNA from 1 species
AUACGGAGGGUGCAAGCGUUGUUCGGAAUCACUGGGCGUAAAGGGCGCGCAGGCGGUUUGGUAAGUCAGAUGUGAAAGCCCAUGGCUCAACCAUGGAAGUGCAUUUGAAACUGUCAGACUAGAGUACUAGAGGGGAAAGUGGAAUUCCCGGUGUAGAGGUGAAAUUCGUAGAUAUCGGGAGGAAUACCGGUGGCGAAGGCGACUUUCUGGCUAGAUACUGACGCUGAGGCGCGAAAGCGUGGGGAGCAAACAGGAUUAGAAACCCUAGUAGUCC